GUGUACUUUUUACCACUUAAACUUUCAUGGUAGAGUUUGUUUUGAAUGCUCUGUACUCUUGCUGGUUCCCAGUGUGCUUGGAGAAGGGGGGUAUGGUUGUCUGAGUAGGUUUGUUCGGGAGCUGGGUGGCAGACAGAGGGUCUGGUAGCUGAAGGAGGAUGUGGGUAGAGUCUGCCCAGACAGAUGGAGGGAAACGAUGGAGAGAUGGAGCGAUACAAGAGGACUGAGUCUGAGAGAAUGUUCUUCUCCUCCUUCUCUCUGUCCUGACAUAGCUUGUGAAUGGACCUCCAUUGUCUGUGUUAGGACUUCUUGGAUGUUGACCCUUCUCCAGAGGUCAGAAGGGGCACAGUGUAGAUGAGAGAGCGCAUAAUUGCAGCAUAAACACAAAGAGUGGCCCACUGAGAGGCCCAGACACUGGGCCAGUUUGACCCCUACAAGGCUGUACGAUAAUGUGUCACUGUGUGUGCUGUUUGUUUGAUCUAUUAUUUGUUGAAAACUUCUUAUGAUAGAAGGCAAAAGAAGUUACUGCAUUGUUUUCCGAGUAGAGGAGGGAAAGUUCUGUUCAAAAGUAGAUGGACAGACAAUUUGGCUGGUAAACAGAUAAAUGGAUAGACAUACAGUUGAAUUAGUGGCAUUUACUCCCAUGGACCCUGUAAUUGUUUGCACCGUGUUCUUUUUUGAUAAAUCGAUUGUUCAGGAUUGUUAUGCCAUCCUUUUCAGGUAAAUUUCAUGGCAAUCAGUUUUGUGGUACAUCUCCUCACACUACAAAAGUGUUUGAGACAGAUAUAGUGGCAUAUUUACAGUGACAUAUACUAUUUCAGUGUAAUCAUUGAAGGUGACAGGACAGUGCAGAGCUUCAUGUGUGUGAAGCUUGUGCUGCUUUUUUACUCAUCGUGCCUUUGGGCUUGCUCCUUGCCAAAAUACCAUUAAAUAGUUUGACAUAACCAAUAGUAUACUUUUGUGGGGUUCUGUGUAGAAGUACACAGACAGAGUAGUGAUGGUGCUAAAUUACAGUGCUGGGGUAGAGUUAGGGUGACCAUAUUCUGAAUCCCCAAAAAGAGGACACGCAGGGGCGGAGUUACGGAGUUACGGAGUUACGGAGUUGUGCGUAGUUAAUUUUGAGAGUUUUCUGGGUCGGGUUAAGUGUUUUUUAUGCGCUUCUAACUCAGCAAGUUCAUGCAACAGAAACUCAUAACUUCCAUACAAAACCCCGGACAUUUGAAAGAUUCUAUAAACUUAACAAGACAAAGCCAAUCUUUAAUAAUAAUAUAAUAAUCUUUCUCCCUCUGUUGAACAUUUCCUUGAACAUACCCUUUCACCAUUUGUUUAUUAUCAACAUUGCUGUACAGCUGUUGGUGAUAAAAAGAUGCAAGGGAAGCUACUAAAUUAAGACAAGAGAAGAGGAUGAGGUGUGUGUGUGUGUGUGUGUGUGUGUGUGUGUGUGUGUGUGUGUUUUGCAGUGGAGUUGACAUUGAGCCAUCCUUGGCAUUUCAAACUUGGGCAUUGUGCCUAUAGGUCCCAGUGGAGUUGAGGUUUUGUGUGUGUGUGUGUGUGUGUGUGUGUGUGUGUGUGUGUGUGUGUGUGUGUGUGUGUGUGUGUGUGUGUGUGUGUGUGUGUGUUGACAUCUCUGCUGUGUUUGGGUGGAUCUGCAGUCUAGUUGGCUCUCUCUGGUCAGUGUGUCAGUCAGUGUGUGUCGUGUGAGAGGGCACGCUCGUUGCAUCUGAAACCUCCGGGCUGACGGCCGGCGGGCACGGCUCAGCCACUGCUGCUCCACCUGGCUGAUUGAUACGGGCCUGUUUGAAGUCCUCUCAGGGAGAAAGAGCUCUAUUCAUGAGUUGCUGGUCCCUCCACACAGCCUGCCCCACCUCUCACUGCUGUCCCUCCACUCUGUUAACAGCUGAAAUGUUACCCUGCUCAUAGAGGUAUGAGGCUGAGGUGGACAUACAGCCACAUGAUAGACAGCCUCAAAAUGAUCAUCUGUGGAGCUCCUAGCUUUAGUGUUCAGCUCUCUUUAUUGAAACUGAGUGUAAGUCAUGUGGAGAGAAGGCCAACCCUAACUCUUGUGUCUCUGGUAUUCACCAUGUAAUGUACCUGUUGACUAUCUUACUGUCUUGAGUUAUUGAGAAGCUUUUUUUUACACCCUUUCUUCAUCUGUCAAGAUUUUGUUUACUACCAGGCCUCCUAGCACCCAUGCUAUUCAACUUUAUGUUCAGAGCACAGUGCAAACACCGGAGCAUGUGAAGAACGCUUAGCUAGUUUCAGUUUGAUUGAUUUGUAUCAUAGACUGUACAUACUAUGGACAACUUGGUUCCGCCUUCCGCCAGUAUAUGGAUUUGAAGCCAAAAAGAGCUCUGUAUUUCCACAAUUUUUCUCCAUUUCCUGAAACCAACAUUGUGCAGUAGUGCUGUACGCACUCCAGCACUUACGCAGUAGCAUUGUACGCAUUUGUUGGGAGAGUCGCUGUGAUAACGUUCAGCUCAAACUGUGUAUCCCCUGGGUGAGCUACACAAUCUUCGUACGCCCAUAGGCUGUAUCAAGUGUCAAUAAUAGAAAACAUGAACCCCCUAAUAACUUUAAAAAUGGAGCUGCACAGAAAAAAGAGGACUCCAAUACAAACCAGUCUUACAGUAACUAUAUGUCAACAUUGCGUGUAAUUAAUUUCUAAAGUUUGUCCACAACUCCAUAAGCUUUGCAGACAGAGGCAGGAUUUAUGACCUAUACUGCAGCCCGUUACCAGAAUGUGCUGUUCUUGGGGUGGCUUUACCCAGCAAGGAGGCAGACAACAUCCAUUCUAUAUUCAGUCUAUGGUUUGUAUACAUGACAGAGAGAAUCAAUCCCCAACUGCAUAAUUCAGGUUAGGUAGUCCAACUAUAAGAAGUUCCAUUAAUGUGAUUUCAGUUAGACUAACGUGUUUACAUGAUUUUAAAAAGUUCACUCAAAGGUGGACUUUUGCAGUUAACUCAUGCUUGUCUAAACUGUCAGCUGCGCCACAUUAGUAACAUUUUUAUACAAGCUAGGCUAACUGGCUGCUGGCCAUCCAACUCACUAGCCAUGUUUACAUGAGCAAAAUUUCUCGAACAAAUUAAAAAUUUGUGGGAUCAGAAAUUCUGAAUCCACUGUUUACAUGGGUGCAAAAUCAAAUAAUCCAAUCAAGACGUGCGUAUACAUGCAACAAGCUUUUUUAAGGUUAGAAGCAUUUGGACAUGCGCAGAGUUGUCUAAUUUCACCAAAACAACUGCAGAAGAAGAAUUGUAUUUACACCUGUGCUGUUAACAAACCAACAAACGCGGUAGUGGCUCACAUCAUCCGAUUCAGAAUGGACCUGAACCAGGUUCUGAGAGAGGUUGUAUUGCACCGAGCAUUCAUGAUCAUCAAGCAAGCCCAGCAGCACAUUCUGAUCCUGCGUAACAUGAGGAGACUGUAUACAGCCAAAAACUCGUGUCAGACACUGACUUAAUUGCUCUUGGAUCCCACCAUGUUUACACCUUGUCACUAACAGUGGAAAUACGUCACAAUGUCGUAGGGUACACAUGUGCAGUCAGGUUAGUUUUGCCUGAGCAGAGAGUCACGAUUAGAAUAAGUGUUUACGGUUGGCAUAAACCACCCCUCUUGAUCAGAAUGCAAUUUCUUUCCAAUUGAGCCGAAUUGUAUCAGACUUCCGAUUAACAUGUUUAGAUGAUGCAUUUUUAUUCUGAACAGGCCUUUAUUCCGAAUAUUUGUGCCCAUGUAAACGCAGCUAUUGUAAGGAAUUGAACGUAUCAAAAUAUGACGACCAAAAUCAAAUUAUCCUUUAAAAGACAACAUUGAUGAGCUGUCACUCAAGGCCUUUGACAAAAUCCCCCAAUAAUUUAAAUUGGGACGAUGUUUUAAGUGUUGUAUGCAAAUUUUGUUGCUGUGUUUUUGUGUGUUAAUGUGCAUGCACACAGUCAUGCAUGCAUUACCCUAAUGUUGUCAUCUUGUAUUGUGCACAUAUGAGUAGAGGUCCCUUGCAAUUUUCUAUCAGCAAGAUCUGAUGUUGACAGGCAGGGUCGGGAUCAGUUCCUGGCCCUCUCAGCACGUUUUGUCUGUGGGAUCCCUGGAAUGUGCAGGAAUGCGGACUCAAGCAGGUGGAGAGGUCCUCCUCAGAGACAAACACCCAAACACAACCCUGAAUCCUCAUCUCCUUCCCCCUCUUUCUCAUCUCUCUGCCUGGUCCGUUUCUUCUAGGCCUUGCCUGACAAUUUGUCUGAAGCGUGAAUGUCAGGAAACAGCUCUCAUCUCCUCUUUUUUUAUCCAUCAGACAAAACGUAUGGGAGUAGUCAUCUGGAGAGAAAAGAAUAGUUUAACAUGAGAAUGUGUACUGUCCGGAUAUUUCAGUUGAGAGUGUGGUCUCUUGUUUCCAGCACUGGUUCAUUUAACCUAGCCGAGAAAAAAGUCAGACAGGUAUUCUUCCAGGUUAAACUGGAGAAGUAACCCUCUGGAGCAGAGCUGGAUGAAUUAAAAAAAAAAACCUUUUACUGUCAGCUCCCCUCGUCCCCCUCCACCCUCUGCCCUCCUCUCUUCCCUUCACUCAGAUUCUUAUCGUCUGUUAGAUUAUUGCUUCCUGUAGAGACCUGGAGCUGCCUCUGCUCUCUGUUUUAUGGCCCUCAUGUUCUUGAAUGAAGCACAUGGCCAAAUUAUUACAAUCCACACAAUGAAGGCAACAAAGGAGCCAGUAUUAAAACAGGUGACAGUGACAUUUUAGGAUGCACCAACAGUAUAUGUUUGACAGUUUUGAAUUUUGAAUUUGACAAAUUUCUCAUUUAAUUAAUCCCUUAAUUUCAACACUUAAUGCAUUUUCAUGCUUUAUACUUUUUUCUGGUCUUUCCUUUUUAUGCAUUGUAGUUGAUUUGUCAUUUUUCUAUUUAGAGUCUGAGAUUGUGCAGAGAAACUCAAGACUUUGCAGUGUAGUAGUGUAUUGUUUACUGUUUUUGUAGUAUAAGAGACAGACCGAUUAAUCUGGACAAUUGCCGUUGGCCCUCACAAGACUGAUAUUACUGUUUCCUUUUCUAAACACAUUUUCCUCAAAUGACAGCAAAUCUAAAACAAUCACUAGCUUGUGUUUGAUAUAGAUUUUCGUCACGAUGUACAGACAGAAGCUGGUAUACGAAUCAGACAUUUUCUGGAGUCUGUAACUUAAUCCAAUAUAAAAAAUACUCAUCAAUUGAUUUAAAAUCCAUCUAAAAUAUAUUUCUAGUCAAGAUAGCAACUUUUGUUAGAUUUAAAUGUUCAUGGAUGGGUUUCUACAUGAUUUCUCUGUUUAAUUUUACCAUGUAGUUUUUAUCUUUCUGAAUAAUUUCACAAAAGGGAUACCGUUUGAUUUUCGAAAAAAGUUCAAACCAUCUUCACGACUUCCACUGAAUUCGACAAAGUGUUUAGUUUUAUAAAGUUCUUGCUUGUACCAUCUUUUCUCGCCAUCCUGCUAGCCACCAGGAAGGAAGUUGAGGUCAGUUGUGUUAAUGUUGGUACUAUAUUAUUUGGGUAAUUUACUAAUUAAUAUACCACGGUUUUCUUUUAUCUGCAGGAUUGUGACCUAAUAAGAAAAGCUGUUAAAUGUUGUGCUGCUAGACUGCUUGUCUCUCCAUGUAUUCAGCAUUUUUUGGGCUCACUUCCUUUUUUGCUUCUUUUUUUCAAUUCCAGCUGAGUUGAUAGCAUAAUAAAGAAAAAAUGAAGCUAUUUUCCAACACAGACCAGUAAUUUUAUCUUAUAUCAUGGCGCGAAGACAGCAUAAGACCCCAAAACUACUGCUCUUGGGCAUCCUUUUAACAAAUUUUUGUCUUUUCGUUUGAAUUUUUCAACACAAAGUUAAACACACUGUUCGAAUAAAAAACACAUGUCUACAUCAUCCUGUCCUUCAUCAGCCUGACAACAGUACAGUGUGCCAGCCAUCAUCCUCCUCAGUCCCAUUAGUGCAUAAUUUCUGGGGUAACCAGAGCCACCAAGACCCCCUUUGACACCCACUCCCACACCCCCUGUCCUGUAAGACUUCUGUUCCCUCUGAUUAGAUUUGUCUCUUCAAAUUGAAUCUUACUCUGAAACAAACACCCUCUUACUCACACAAGGAUACACACAAAUACUCAUAAACAUGACACUGAAACUCUUAGUUGAUUGUUUAUGCGGUGACUCUUAUUCUCAGUAAAAGCUGCUAAUAGGAGCAAAUUACUGCCAACAACUUGGAAAUAUCGAGUGCCCGACUGCUCAGCUGUAAUGGAGUUAGUGCUGACCAAUCUGAUUAUGGGCCUCAAUGGAGCAAGGAGAAGGAUGGAUGGGAUUGGGGGAGGAGGUGAAGGGGUUGGCCUCAGGGGAAUGGGGAGUGCAGGGUACCUGGCUCCUGGAAGCUAACUGUUGCUGUUUGGCUUUAAUUGCGUUUGGAAUGGACUGUGGGUUAGAGUUGCUCCUGCCAUCCAGACUGGAGCAGGAGACGUGAUCUGAUCAGUCUUUAUUUGCAAACAUGAAACAUCUGCUGUGCUCAGGGCUGCUUUUGUCUCUCUUUAAAUAUCACAACAAUUACUGCUACAAGUCUUCUGAUCACUCACCCCGUACAGCAUUGCAAAAAAAAAAAAAAAAAAAAAAAACAGCUCAGAGAAGGAUUGUGUAGGUCCCAUGAUGCCAAACUUUGCAGCAGCUUUUAAAACAAGUUACAAUGCGAGAUGCAAUCUAUUGAGGCUUUAUUGUCUUGGGAGGACACAGCGCACCCACUGUGUCCUUUAGAGGAAAAUCCUCUAAUGCAAGUGAUCAAGAGACUGAGCAAGUUGUUUGUCUUCUACAUCACCUCUGGUUAAUGUUGAUGACGAGAAGUGAGAAAAAAGGAAACUUAAGUGUGCCUAUUCCACAUCUUUUUAAAUGUACAAUAAAUAACCUCUUGUAUUUAUGUGUUAGAAAUUCUGCUCAUUAGUUGGUUGCUCCACCAUAAAAAAAAUCACAGACAAGAGACGAGCAUAUAUCUCCUCAGUAGCCACAUUUACAUGAACACAAUUUCUUGAUCUGAUUAAAAAUUUGAGAGAUAAGAUAAUCUGAAUCCACUGUUUAUAUGGGUGCAAAAUUAAAUAACUCAAUCAUGACGUGCGUAUACAUGCACCAAGCUUUAUUCAGAUUAGAAGCAUUUGGACAUGUGCAGAGUUGUCUAAUUUUGCUAAAACAACCGCAGAAGAAGAGUUGUAUUUACGCCUGUGCUGUCAACAAACCAACAAAUGCGGUAGUGGUUCACUCAAUCCCAUUCAGGAGUUUUCCCCUGCUAAAUGUUGUCAUGAGGUGGAUCCCUUGCGUACUUAUUUUACUGUUCUGUCAAUGGUUGCUCUGUGCGUGCAGAUGUGACAUCAUUUCGCUCUAUGUACACCUUGUUAUGUUACCAGAGGAGCAGACACAGCACCUACAGUUGUGUCUUAUGCCAGAGUUUUAACGAUGAAACCCUCUGGCCUCGAUAAAUAAGCCAAAGGCUAAAGAAUGCAGAUCGGAAAUGUGUCACGGUGACGUAGGGUACACAUGUGCAGUCAGGUUAGUUUUGCCUGAACAGAGAGUCACGAUCGAAUAUAUGUUUACAAGUUUCUGAAUAACGAUCGGCAUAAACCACUCCUCUUGAUCGGUAUCCAAUUUCUUUCCAGUUGAGCCGAAUUGGAUCAGAAUCCUCCAAUUGACAUGUUUACAUGAUGCAUUUUUAUUCCGACCGGUCAUUUAUUCAGAUUAUUUAUGCCCAUGUAAAUGCAGCUACUGUAGGAUCACUCUGAGAUUAGGAAUUACUUUCAUUCAAAGAGUUUAAGACUAUUCUGAGGAAAAUUUGGAGCUAAGCCUGUGAUUGGCAUCACAAGGCACCAGGAAGCGGAUAACUAAAAAAUGUCUUCAAGAAAACAUGGCAACAUAUUUUCAAAAAUACUUUAAGUAUUGGGUUUAGUGUUGUGGAUUAACUGUGCAGAACUAUACAUGUAUUUUCAUGACUCAAAUAUGUUAAAAAUCAAGUGCAAGUAAUUUUGAUCGGGUACAUGUUGAGACUUGUGAGGAAAAGAAGGUGAUUGGUCAAAUUUGCAGAAAUAAAUGGCAAGAUCCCAAAAAUGAUCCAAGGACUAGUUAAAGAUUGUGACAUCUUAGAACACUAAUAAAUGAUAUGUAAGACCUUAAAUGUGGGAUAUUGACGUUUAAUUGUAGAGGUGAGUAGCUCUCCUUUUCAGGGAGAUCCAACGUGUACAAGUCCAUUUAAUCUUUUUUACAGUCUCCUCUUUACCAGGUGAUAACAUGAAUAUUUACAGAAAUAAGCAAAACCUUGACCGGGAGAGAAAGUCCUGGUUGUUUCCUCUGUGUUACCAGAAUAGUACCAUAUUAUCUGAAGUAUUUAAGUUUUUUUACUUCUCCAGGAGGUAAAACAUUAGACUGUCAGAAGUAUCUGCUCUUGGAAAAAAAAAAAAAACUCUUCCUUUAAAGCUUAUAUAUUCCCGGCAGAAUUGGACUACUCCUGUUGCACUAAAAUGCUUGAGAUGAUUGAAAGUUUUAUUGAGGUCAAGAACAUGUGACGCUUCUUAAGGUCGGAGCAGCAGUUACGGCCUUGUUGUGUUUGUUUUUGUUCUGCUGUGUGAGAGACAUCAGGCUGACAUCGACCCUGGAGGUCAACAAGAACACAGCUCUCAGCUUGCUGGGUCGGCUUUGUUUGACGUCUGGAAAUGUUCGACUGGUAACUCAAACCAGGUCUGUUAAUCACAGCUAAUACAAGUUUGAUGCCGAUGUAUUUUUCCCCUCUAUCUUCCUCUUCAUUUAGCCUCCAUUACCUCUGCCUUGCUUCCUCAUUCCCCAUCUCCUGUCCUCCCUCCUCCUCCUCUUUUCUGUCUCCCUGUGGUACCCGCUCCCCUCAGGCAUCCCAAACCUCAUUUACACAGAAAUGUUUAGCCAGCACAGGAAGCAACCCGUGCCCUUAACAAAAUUACGGCCCAGCCAGCGAAUGAGCCGCGGGGCUGGUCUGUAGGGACCAAUCACAGAGGGGCUGGGCUCUACCACUUCCUGCAUUGUUGAACUCAAAUUGCUGACUUUUUAGUGCCCCCACCUUUUCUAUUCUAGACAACUUUGUACCCAACUGAGAGCUUACCUCCAACAUCGUGAAGCAAUAUGCUCCUAACAGCUUUUAUAUGAGCUGCUUUAAAUGAUGUUAAUGAUAAGAGCUGUAAUGAUGGUGAUGUAAAUGCACUGAGUGCUGUGUUAACAGAGACAGGGUGCUCGGCUGUGCUCUGAUCACUAUCUCUGCGGCGCCUCAGUAAUUUAGCUCUGAAGUUGGCUCUAUUAAUGGGCCUCUGCUUUUCCUUUUCCCUCUCAUAUCCUUUUAAUCUCCCUGUCCCUGGAUUCCAUUUUACAUCCUCUUGUCCUUCUCCAGCCAGUUCAGAAAAGGAUCAUACUGGUUUUAAACUUUAUAAGCACAUCACUGCUGUGGCAAAAAACAACUCAUGCCCAGAGGAUUUCUUUUAGAAGAACAGGCUGUACGUUGUUAAAGUAGUGACAACAAAGUUUAAAAAAGCAUACACUAGUGGGCUGUAUUCACUUGGGAAAUAAACUGCUGUCAUAUCUGAACUGACAAGAUAGUUUUCUUAUUAUUACCAGAAGUUUUUAUUUUAUUUUUUUUUAAUGAAUGAGAAAGUGGUACUUAAAAAUAUCAACAGUAGUUUUCAUUUAGACCAAUCAAGGAAACAAGCAUGUUCUGACAUUUUGGUUCAACCUAGUUUUACUCUGGUUUGGCUUUGAGGCAUGAUGGACGCUUGUGUCUGUAAGUAAUGUGGAGGUCAUCGUAUGAGCUGUUGUUCAAGUGCAAAGCCAAUUUUGAUCCACUAGUUCCUGAAGUGUUUUGUGAGUUAAUCUGGAAUGUAAUAUGAAUAAAGGAUGAAAUUAAAGGAUGAUAAUUAUCUAGCUAAUUCAGAGAAAAAUCUGAAGGAAGUUUUAUUUCCGAGUGAACACAAUAAGAUUCGGUCAAAACAGAAACAAUAGUCCCAAAAUGUGCCAUGGCAGAAACAGACUGGAUUUAAAAAAAAACAGAUUCAUGUGCCCUAAGUGCUGCAAAUUAAAAAUACAAUAAACCAAGAAAAGAAAUGCAAACAGAGGAAUACAGUCUUCACAGCAGGAGGGCUUUAGGAAACAAUUUUAGGCUGUUUAUACAUCACUCACCAUUUUGUAUUUGCGUUUUUUCACCUCUGCGUUGUUUGCACUUGUUUUGAAUUUGCAGCCUUUUAUCACAUCAUAGAAAUCUGUUGGGCUGCUGCAGUGUUUUUGCACUUUUCUGCCAUCACAGUUAUGUGCAUAUAAAGUAGAUACAGCAUCGUGUCGCAAUAUUUUGUCUCGUGAUAUAUCAUAUCGUCUCAUUUACCAAGUAUCAAUUUUUUCAAAAUAGUUGUUGAUAUGAAGUCAAAUCUAUGAUAAUGGAAAAAUAAAAUCGACUGGUUGUCCAGUGAGGUUGGCAGAGGUGACAUCACAGAGCAGGAGAAAGUUAGUUUAACAAAUUUAUAUAAGGUUUGCAAGAUGUGCUACAUGAAAAUAAAAUACUGUGUAAAUGAGACAAACAUAAAGGAAAGCCAGCGUAAAUUAGCUAAACAGUUGAAAAAUUGUAUAAAUCUCAAUAUAUUGUAUUGCAAAACUCACUGUAUUGUAAAAUGUUAAAAAUCGCAAUAAUAUCGUAUUGUGGCCCUAGUAUUGUGAUAAUAUCGUACUGUAGGGCCACUAGUGAUUCCCACCCCUAAUAUCAAACUCUUCAAAGACAGACUAACAACGUUAAAAAUACAUUUAGUAUUUACAAAACAGCAUGCCACAAAUUUGUGUAAAAUGAUGCAUUUUUUUCAAAUCUCUGUGUCUCUGGGUGCAUCAGGUGCAAGUCUUCAUAAUAUCGACUGAAAAACCUCAAUGGUGCCAUUUAUUGCUUUCAAUGAGUUAUCCCAAGGAUGAUUUAUUCUCCGUUUGAUUCAUGGUUAAUAUUCAAGCGUUGUCCUUGGUCUCAAAAAGGACCAAGAUGCCACUUAAACAACCACCCUCUCUGCUCCUCCCCCUUGAAUCUGUUUCAGUAUGCAUCAGGGACUCUGGAGGGGUAUAACCAUGUGAGAUAUCUCUCUCUCGCUCAUUCCAAUCAGCUCUCCCUCCAUGCCCUCCGCUCAGGUAAUUAACUUCUCCCUCCCACCUCCAUCCGCUUCACGCCCAGCCUCCCUCUGCUCCUUAUCUGCACUCCUUUCAGACUGUUAAAACUAUCAGCCUCCUUCUCCCUGUCCCCCCUUGUCUAAUUCCUCAUACUGAAGGUGAGGAAUAGGUAGAAACUAAUCCAGACCCCUCCACCACUUCCACCCACCAUCCCAUGCUCUCACCACCUGAAUCGCUUUCUGCCUUUUUUUGUCCUCUUUUUAAAAGAAAGGGUGAUUUUCACCUUCAGUUUGAAUGGAGAUUGAAGAGCCAGAGAUUGGAUUAAUCAGACAUGUUAUCCUGAUCGGUGAAAGAGAGACUUGAUCGCUGCUUGCUAUAACCUGAUUAGGAUACACCCUUACGUGCACACACACACAGACACAGACUGAGGAGGUAAGGCGAGCAAAGACAGGCUACAUCUUUGACUUUUCUACGAACUGUGAGGGAUUAAAGGAGAUUGUAAUUGCUUUUUCUCUCCUCUCUUUCAGUUCAUUUGUAUUGACAACUUGUUUCUCAUCUGUCGCAGAGCAGGAAGGUCACAGAUCUAUGAAAAGAGUCGAGCGGCCUCUUGACAAAGAUGGCACAAAUGUAGGGCUGGAGAAAAAAAAAGGUGGAAGCUUUCAUCCUUUCUCCGGCGAGGCCUCUUAUGUAAUAUUCAUGAUGCAAUUCAGGACAUCUUUAAAAGGUAACAGUGUUCAGUAAUGAAUGGAGAGUACAAAGACAGGUACAAUCUCAGACAGAUAAUCUCUGUCAUAAUUACCAUAAUGUGAUAAAAAAAAAAGAGUCCUGAUUGAAAUUAAGCAGAAAGACAUGUGUCGCUCUCAUGCCUGCCUUCAUUCUCCUCCGACUCUCAGUAUUUAUAUCCGUCUCUAAUAGCCUGUGACUCACAGUGUGUGGCACCGCUCACUGAGUUAGAGGUCAAGUGUUAAGUGUUGUGUGUGCGCUAAGGAUUCGUUCCAGAUCGCGUGUGGUUAACUGAGACGAUGUCGAGUGUGCUGUUAAAAAUUUGUUUCGGCUCACAGACUCAGCUGAACUGCAUCGUAAAAAUAGUCAGCAGUGAGUCCCCAAAACAAAAGGAUCACAUCAGUGUUUGCAGAAUUUACAGCCUGCAAGAAGGGGAUUUCUUCGACUGUAAGAGGACAGGAAGAGCUGCAGAAAGAGAUAAAUCUGUGUGUUCAGUGUGUAUUUAAAACACUUUUAGUUUUUAAGUGUUGAAUAAGAACUAAUGAAUACUUAUUACCACUCAAAAUGGUUGUUAUAAGGCCUCAUAGAUGGAUUUAUAAAGCUUUAUAAACAUGCUUAUGAUGCUUAUAUAAGGGGGUCAUAUAAAAUAUUACCAAACUAUGUUUUAAAACUCUUGUUAGGAGUUUAAAUUAGGUUAUUGAAUGGACUGUGAUUUUAUGCUGAGGUAUUUGUAUAAACUAACAAAGCAAACCAGUCCAUGAAAAACAAAACUGAAAUACUCUGUGUACAGAGAUGAACAGUGAUUUCCAAAAAUGGCACAAACCAGAACUUUGACACAAGAGCGCUAAAAAAACUAUCAAAGAGUUUUAAAGACCCACUCCAAUGAUAAUCAAGUUUUUCUUGUUUUUUUGUAUGUUCAAAUGGCAUUUUUCUGAUGCUUCAGGACAAAUCAUGAAAAAACUAAAUGCGAAAUUGUUUUUCUGAAUAUUUCUUCAUUAAAUCACUGUGAAUCUCUGGCAGACCCAAACGGCAGGUUCAGAAACAGUGAGGUUUUAUACGUAACCAAUCCAAGCUCCGCCCUCGGAGCCCCGCUAUGCAGUUGACACUCUGAUAAAAGAGAGGACAAUUGCGGAGCAAGCGUGUGCGUAAGUGGAUUGCAAUGCUCGCAAGAAAGCUGAUUAUGAUUAUAGCUUUCAUCACGUACCUUAAGACAUUGGUGUCUGAGAGCUGAAUAGCUCCUAUGUUAGCUGCCACUUCUUCGAAACUGGCAAUGUUAGGCUGCAAGCAAACGUGAAGAUGAGUGUGCAGUGCAGCGCUGUCUCUGCCCAUGACUCCGCCCAUGACUCCAAGGUGAAUUGCUGAUGAUCUGCUGGAGCUCUGCAGAAGAAAAUCCCUUGAAAACGACACAGGCAAUGCGAUUUUUAUUAAAAACUUCAUAAUCAAAAUUUUUAAGACCACUGAGGUCACUUGAAGUAGUAAAAAAAAACAAAAAACGGUCAGAGUGGGACUUUAAGUGUUCAGUUUUUAGCAAUAGUGUAUUUCAGAGAAAAUCCUCGACAAACUCAAAUGAAUAAAUUCGAGAGAUCAUUCUUAUUGUGUUGAAGCUCCCCUGCCAGGUAUCUGUUGAGAGGUAUACCUUGGGCCUCUAGCUGGACUUUUACCACUUGCAAAUUAAAGGUGCUCUCCUGUCUGAUGAACACAUAACCAGAGUGUGUAAUUUCUGUCUUUUGUGGUCCGCUUAACAGCCUCUAAAGUGAUCACUGAUGGUUUCAAAUGUUAUGAUUUCUUUCCGUUAGGGCCUCAGUACACACUCAUUAGACGGUGUACAUUUCUGAAUCAAGGCCUCGUUUCUUCUCUUGGCUGUAUCAUGUUGCCUGGACAAAGAUGUAGAUCCCUCCUCCUUUUACACCUCCGACUAAAGACCAGAACAAAGACCUGAUUCACACACCCUUCAUACACUUUCCUCUCUUUGAGUGUUAAUUGUUGAUGGCUGCACAGCACAAGUUGGCCCCCCUACUCGGCUAUCCUUGCCUUUUAAAAGCCGGUUAAGCUGUGGCAGUGCAGGUCUCAGUGGUGGAGUGGAUGGAUGGAUGGAGAAAGAGAAAGACUGAGAUAAAAGUAGAAAUGGAGAGCAGAAAAUGAGAGGGUGCAGUCAGAGAAAGGGAAGCAGGAGAUUACACACAGUUCUUAUCUCAAAGUGAAAGAAGGAUACAGUGAUGAAAGGAGAAAGAGGAGGAGGGAGGGAGGUAGAGGUGUGGUGCUUAGGGCCAGUUGGUCAGCAGCUCCAUAUAAGACCAGGACCUCUGCAUGUGUCUGACCUCCCUGUGGAACAUGAAAUGUAGCUGUGUUUCAUCUCUUCUAAUCAAGUUUCCUCUCUUUUACCAUCUUUCAACCCUCCCUUUAAAAGAGUAGUUUGUUUGUAACAGCUGGAAGAGUAAGCUGUCUCUCUAACUCUUAUUAUAUCAUUAAAGAUAUUUGACAGCAAUGGCACUCCAUACCUUCAGAGUCCUUGUUUAUUCUCAUGAUACAUUUAGAGUCUGCAUUUCUCUACUAGCCCAUUUUUGUUGUCUCUCUUUUGAUGGGUUAUUUCAAAGGAACACAAAGGGUCAUACUGGUGUAUUGUUGGCACUGCCUGGUGUGUAUUGUAAAUUCUUUAUCAAGUUAUUGCCAGGGUUUUACACAGAAAAAGGUGAGUAACACUUUACUUGACGCCUAUCUCUAUAACGCAUAAUAAAUAUAUGUCUUAUGUGGUAUAACCACGUUAUAGCACUGUAUAACUAUAAUUAUAAACACUCAUAAAUGAUCAUAAUGCUUUAUAGCAAUAAUCAUAACACAUUAUAAAGCAUUUUAUCAUGACUAACAAGGUCAGGUAUUAUAAUGUGUUAUAACUGUUAACAACUCAUUUAUGUGGACAAGGCUUUAUAACAUAAGUAUAACACAGUAUAAUACCUGACCUUGUAAAUCAUGAUAAAAUGCUUUAUAAUGUGUUAUGAUUAUUGCUAUAAAGCAUUAUAAUCAUUUAUGAGUGUUUAUAUUGAUAGUUAAACAAGUUUAUAAGCAAAUUAUAACACAUCAUAAAUAUAUGUAAAAUGCAUUAUCUAUGUGGGCAUAGUAAGUGAGUUUUUAACAGUUAUAACACAUUAUAACACCUGACCUUGUUAGUCAUGAUAAAAUGCUUUAUAAUGUGUUAUGAUUAUUGCCAUAAAGCAUUACGAUCAUUUAUGAGUGUUGACUAUACUUAUACAGCGCUAUAACGCAAUUAUCACACAUUAUACAUAUAUUUACAAUGCGAUAUAGAGAUAGGCGUCAAGUAAAGUGUUACCAAAAGGUCGAACACUGAUGAGGUAAUGCAGCAUGUUAGAAAAAAAAAAAGAUCAUUGGGCUUUUCCAGGGUGUCACAGUAAAUUUAAAACAGUAUAUCCAUCACUCAUUUUCUAUGUGGCAGGUGCUACCAAGACAGGUUACAAGCUGCUCCCCGGAGAGCAACAGAUAGGAGCACAUGAUUCAGUAGGAAGGAGUAAUGGGAUGCAAGGGAUGAUCAGAGGAAGAUAAGAUUUCUUUAUCAAUGAACCACAAGGUGAGCAGAAAAUAUGAUUUCUUGCUCACACAAACUGCUUUUUCCCAGAUCACAGAAGGAAAUUGAGUUUUUUUUUCAUUCUGAGGGUGACUGUAGCAUGUUUUUAGAAGGCUCCUCCUCUGUGCCCCUCUGGGUCUGUUUCAUUGUGCCUAACUGGAUUAAGAUGGAUGGAUAGAGAUGGAACCAGCAGGGAAAUAAUAGCAUUAGUACCUGCACACUGAGCACUAGUGAUCCAUUGUCAAUCCAAACCUGUUCAGCUGUGAUUGACUAGUGAUAAAGACUUUUACAUGAAGAGCACUUUGCCCUCCAUGUGACAACCAUACCUUUGCAGAAACUGUAAUCACAAUUUACAGAAAGAGCGCUCUUUAAGAUGUAUUAGUGUCUGUUGUCUUUAAAAGUUCAGGCUAUAGUUAAUCAGUCAGAUUGAAUCUGGUGGUAAAUCUGCUUUCCAUUGACCACCUCAGUUUCAAAGUGUACAAUAAGAAGUGAUCGACUGACAGGAGUUUGUCCACCGAUGAGUAAGCUGUGUAUCUUUGUUCCCAGAAGAAAAUCAUUGGUGGCAGCUGUUUCCUAUAAGUCAGCCCAAAAUCUCCUGUAAAAAGCCGAAAUACAGGAGACAAGAAAAGAUAGCAGAAAGUAACAGUAAUAGUGAAUUUGUGAGCCGCAAUCUCCUGAGAUCUCCAUUAAGUGGCAGUGAGCAGAGAGCCGGUCAGAUAACCUUUCUGUCUGGGAGCCAGCACUAUCUGUUAAAAGAAGAUAUCAUUGGAUUAAGCAUAUCCUCCGAAAGCCUAAAACAGCUGAUCUCUGACUGAUACAUGCCUUUAUUAAUUACUGAGUGUAGUUAAAGAUGGGCCCAUGGCAGAGAUUACUCUUCAUCCUGGUCGUGUUUAAAGUCUUACUGUAAACUGUUCACCUUUUUUUCACCUUUACACGUGAUUUUUGAAGAAAGGUUUUGCACAUGGCAUCAGUCCGUGCGCAGAUGUGACACUUUUUCAUGCAUGAAAGACAUCUGAACAGAUUUCUUGUAAACAGGCAGAAGGGGAAGUUAUUCAUUUUUCCUCAUAUUUGUUUAAUCUGGGUGUUGUACACGUUUUGUGCGAAACAGAAAGAGCACAAAGGAACCAUAUCACAAGCAUGAUCAGAAAGUUUUUUUGUUUUUUUUUUGGCAGAAGAGAGUCCGAAUAAAAGAGAAGAACUAAUAAAGCCAUAGCAGGAAAAACUUAACAAGAAAACCGCCAUGUUAGCAGAGAACAAUGUUUUGUGCUUAUUGCCAGAACUAAUAAAGUUUAAUGGGCGUAAUGGGUACCACUUAGAUUAUCUGUGAUCAGUGCAUGAAAAAAAAAGAUCACAUUUUCUAAGUAAAACUAAAAUCAAGCUGGGGUUUAGGUUUUUUGUUGGUAAAUCUCUAAAUUUUUAAGGAAAUUGGUCACAAUCCAAGUUACAAAUCCAACCCACUCACACUCUGAACAUAAAAGGUUGACCUCAUGAUGCUGCUGGAAGUCAGCAUAUCACCCAAGUCAUGAGGAUACAUCCUCUACAGACCGAAAUUUCAUGUCAAUGCAUUCACUGUAGUAUUUGCGAGGAAAUUUCAGCCAGGGCUUAAAUUCAUGAUUAUGAUUCAAUGAUUAUAACAACAUCCUCAAUAUACUACACUCACCAGCCACAACAUUAUGAACACUUGGACAAUCAAAUACAACCGAUUCACUGCAAAGUCUACUUUUAGUAAGCUUCUAGAUUUUGUUGACACAAUCGGACAAAUGAUUAUUAUUGCACUCAUUGCACAGUAAGUUGUGGGUGGUGUUUGUGUACUGGAGUGAGUAGUAUUAAAAGCUAUUUCUUGUGUUUUGUCAGGAGCAAAUUAUUUAAAAUGCCUUUCAGUAUAACACACCUCUACAGUAAUACUGCUCUGUCUGACCUUGCACAUGAAAAAUGAAAGUUAAGAAGCUUGGUAAAAGUGUUUUUUGUGGUAGAGCUGUUGAAUUAGGUUGCAAAGGAUUUCCACGGUGUUCAAAAUGUUAUGGCUAGUUAGUGGAGUGGCAGGACUAAUGCCAACAAUAACUAAUUAAAAAUAUCAAACAUUAGGGUAGUUUGAAUUAAUGACAGUAAAGGUCCUUAAACACUGGGAACGAUGCAAAUAUACGAUGCGAAAUUACGAAAUAUUUGGAGGCAAAUUUGACGCGCCUGACUGUACACAUCAAGCACGAUGCGAUUUUGCGACUUUCUGGGGGGAAAAAAGACGUGUCCCGGGUGGAAGCGAGAAGACUGACACAACACUAGACUGACUGUUUUUCAGUUCUGAUUAGACACUAGUGUUGAGAUGGCUGUCUGUCAUGAUAGCAUGUACUGAGUCGGGGCCAGUACCAGAUAAGCACAUUAAACUAUAAUCCAUAAACGUAAGGUAACAACCGAGACCUAAUGGUGCUGUGACGCGAUUGAGUUUGACAAUGAAAAUACAUAUGGUGUUUUGUAUCUGAACAGGUUAGCUUACGAGCUAAAGUUACUUAGCACAGAUGAAAGCUAAAACAAAGACGUUUAGCAAACUGUUAAAGCACACAAACCAUCGUCAUAUGAGAAAUCCGACGCUAUGACUCUCCACAAGUUGUCUUUCAGGUCGUUAUCUUCGUAAUGUUUGUGUUUUUUAUCAAAAAGCACUCUGUUCUCUGAUACAUAAACAAUCAGCCAGCCAGUUGGAUGUACCGGUGAAUCUGACGUUGCAACAAUACAAAAUCUGUUUGGUCAGAAGUGGACACACGGUAUGCGAAACUUUAGAAAUAACUUUUUAAAUAAUUGCCGCAAUAUCGCAGGACGGGAAAACGUCGCUGAUGUGAACGCUUGUAUUGACGUGAUACGGGUUCAAAAAAAAUUUUGACGUCCAAAAUAAUCACACGACAAAAACGCUCCCGGUGUGUAAGGACAUUACUUCUCUAUAUUUUGACAUCUUUGCCUGUGAGAGAGGCACCUAAAUAAGAAGUAGUUGUUGUGUGUUCUCUCUGCAGGAUUUCUCAAUAGCUUUGAUUGUUAUUAGUUUAUACAAGAAUUUCAAGCCACAUGAAUGGAUGCUGGUGAAUGCAGGACUGUGGACUCUGCAGGGACAGAGAAAAACCAGAUGGUAGAAGAUGGUUAAGGGGAUGGUUAGGGGGAUCUGCAGAUAACAGCUGUACUCUCUUAUUGAGGUGUCUAAGCGUCUGAAGAAUUAGCCUAUCAAUGCGAUAUCAAAUUUGUUUUCUGUCUGUGAUAUUGUACCUUUAAAGAAAUGUAAUUGAUAAUCACAUGAAUGUGUUGCUAGUAUCAAAGCUGUUGUAUUUAAAAGGAAGUGUGCUGGCAUGAAUGAAGAUAUUUAAAUGGUGUGUGUGUGUGUGUGUGUGUGUGUGUGUGUACGUAUGUGUUGGUGUUAGGGGGGUAGAAAUCGAGCAUUAACACAGUGGAAGUGGCGCUGUUCAUUUGUCAGGAGAUGGAUUGCAGCCAUUGAGAGGAAAAGCUUUUAAUUUGGCUCUGGUGUGGUAAUUAGGUUUCAAUUCGCCGCGCUUACUAAGAGGAAUGGGGAGGGUAAUGGAGUUAGUCAUCUUACUGUGUGUUUGGAGGGAGGGAAAAAUGUGUGUGUGUGUGUGUGUGGAGGGGGGGUAGUAUGCACAGUGUACAUUUACAGUUGCUCUUGUGCUCUAAUUCAUUGUGUAAUGCUGUUUAUUAUGGGUAUCACAGUGCCUCUAAGCAUUAGUUAAGUGGCCCUGGCACAUUACAGUAAUGGAGAGAGAACAUGAAAACACACUGAAACCUGAUCUAGCUCCACUCUGCUGCUGUGCUCUCCCUUAUGUCUUAAUAAUGUCUCUCUUUACACGGUAGGAAAUAUUUUACCUCUGUCUCCCUUGACUUCCAUCUUUUCCCCUUGUGUGUCUUCCUCUUGAUCUGGUCUGGAUUGCUUUGGGGUCUCUAAUAGAUGGGUUUUGUAUGCAGAAAGUACAGGUCAAGUUACAUGGUGUAACAAUUAGAAAAAAGGAAACAAGGAAAUGAGAAAAAGAAAGUGUAUAUAAGCUUGUAGUUUUGUUUCAGUACAAAGAAAUGAGAAUCCUAUAUCAGGAAUUGUAGAGAAAUUAAUUAAAUGUAAUUUAGUGUAAGAUGAGGCGUGUCUUGUUUAAAAGUUCCUGCUUACUUUUUCAGUUGUCCUACUUGCUCAUAGUUUGUGCAUUCAUGCUCCGAAAUGUCUGUCAACUGUGUAUGCUUUUGUGUUCACUUUUAUCUUGUGUGUGUGUGUGUGUGUGUGUGUGUGUGUGUGCGCGCGCGUGUGUGUUUGUAUACUUGGCAGUGGGCACAGUAGCCACAUGACGACCCAUGCUUGACCUCUGAGAAGCGUGUAGGCGCCGGGGUUCAGUCUGACUCCUGUCACAUGAUCCCCUGCUGCCCUCCCUCUCUCCAUUCACAAUAGAGUAUUAAUCUGAAUAACACACACGCACACUCAAAGACACACAAAAAGCUCAGAAACUGUCACACAUACUUAGCUCAAAAAACACGCCCAAAUAGACACUGCUUUGUCUCUAAGUGCAGCAUUUUAUGACGCCUUUCAACUGUAACAUUACAGAGUAAAAUCGAUGUUCAGCAAGCAUUUUUCUAGGAUCAUCUCCUCAUUUAUUGGCGUCUCCAUAGACUUUACUGGGUCUGAUCUUUGAGGGCGGAGGCAGGUGUCCUGAUAUACAAAUGCCACCAACUUUUAGUCUAACUGUGCUCUCAGCUGAGGUAUUGAACCUUGUUUAGUUCUUUUCUCUCUCCUUCCUGCUGCCUGUUGACUCUCCCUCUCUUUGGUUUAUCAUUAAAGGAUUAGCAGGCUGAGAGAUGGAUGAGGGGGCCUGAGGUGCAGUUGGUUUUCUGCUAAUAGAGGACGUGUGCCUUCUGUCAGUCUGUUUUGUAACCCCGCUCGAAUCAAAACCCCCUUUCAGAGUUUUAUUUUUCAAAUCAUAAUUUCUUGCUUAUACAAGUUAAUACACCGUUAGCUGAGCAACUUCCUCUUACCUCUCCAGUCUCUCCCACGGUUGGGGCCUCCAGCCUCCCAGCAUCCUUGGUGUGUGGGCUGACUCCAGCUCGGCUUCCUGUUAUAGAAAUUUGCGGAACCGCGAUCCCCCCAAACGCACACACACACACACACACACACACACACCCUCAGCAGCCCUGCAGCCAUCUGUAGGUGAGUGUGUGUCUGCGAAUGUGAUAUACUGUUUGUGUUCGGCUUCUUACACAAUCAAGUCAACCUGUUAGAAGUAAGGAGAUGAGCCAAGAUAGAGAACUGAAGGUAAUCGAGUAGAAUCAAGUCAAGACACGGAAAUGCACAUGGUAGUUUUAGAAGACAACAAAGGAUGAUGUAUAAUUGCAUGACUUAUUACUACUACUUUUACUACUAUUACUACUACAUGCCUUAUUAUCCCAUGACGAGUAGUGGUUCAGGUGGUUGAAUAGGUAGUAGUUUGUUGGCAGAACAUGUAGAUGAAGCAGAUGAAGGAUACCCUGCUAUUGUGUUAGUUAAAGUCCCAAUCCCACUGAUUUUUUUUAUUGUUUAUAGUGUUCUCAGUGGUCUUUAAAUUGUGAUUAUGAAGUUUUCAGCCAAAAUCAUGUUACCUGUGUCAUUUUGCUUUUCUUCUACAGAGCUCCAGUAGCACAUUAGCAGUUCGCCUCUUAGUUGUGGGUGGAGACAGCGCUGCUCUGCACACUCCUCCUCACGUUAGCUUGUAGCCUAACAUUACCUGUGUAGAAGAAGUGGCAGGAAAUAUAGGAGCUAUUCAGGUCUCGGACACUAAUGUCUUUGGGGGCAUGAUGAAAGUAAAUAUAAUAAUUAGCUUUCUUAUGAGCAUUGUAAUCUGCUAACGCACAUGCUUAUCCUGCGAUCGUCCUCUCUGGCCUGCAGAGUGGGACACAGGGGGCGGAGCUUGGAUAUGUGACAUAGAAAUUCCCACUGUUUCUGAACCUGCCAUUUGGGUCUGUGAGAGGUUCACAGCGAUUUGAAUGCAGAAAUACUCAGAAAUGUAGUUUUGCUCUUAGUUUUCUCAUGAUAUGUCCCGUAGCAUCAGAAAAAUGCCAUAUGAACAUGUAGACUAGACAACAAGGAAAACAUGGUUUUAAUCAGAGUGGGUUUUUAAGGCUGCACGGAUCAGCUUUAUAGCCUUUAGCUGAUGAAAUAAUGACAUGUAAUGUGUUUGUGGUCUCUUCUGAUGAUCUUAUCUGCUAAGUAUCAGACAGCUCAGCAGUUUCCUUCAGCCUUUUUUUUUUUUUUUUACCAUUUGGCUCAUCGUUCUGUUCACCCCUGCCUGCUAUUUUCCUGUUUCAGUUUACAAAAUACCUUUAUUAAACAAAUCACGUGUUUCAAACCUUUUUUGGCUAAAAAGCUAAACUGUAUCUGUUGAAUGCGUUUGUUGCGUCACAUUCAGAAAGAGAUUGGAGAAGGAGAGAAAAUUGCUCAGUGUGCCAGUACUAAACUCAUAACAUCAUAACUAAGAGCGAGCCCAAGCCUAAAGCAGCUUUAAGUAUAAGAUUUAUGAAAAGGGAAAGUUUGGAGCCUACUCUUUAAGGAAGGUGCUACUGUACUCUCAUUUUAUCGUUGGGCGUAACAGGUUUUCUUGGUUUUUGAAGCUGCCCUCAUGUGGACACUCAAGGUACUGCAGCUUUUUGGCACUAAUACAUAGGCUCAAACACUGAAGGUUGUUGCUUGUAUGAAAUACAGAUUCAAGUAUCUAAAGUAAGAGCUCCAUGAAUAGACACUGUAAAUUCUUCAAACUUAUUUCGUCCAUUUACUCUAAAUGCAGUCGAAGCUCAGUGUGAGUUUAUACAUUAGAUAACACGACAACAGUUUGCAGCGUACAUCGACCCUCACAGCCUCACAGUUGAAACAGGAGAACAACACAAGUACAAGCUGUAAUUUAUAGGUGGAGAUCAGCAGAGUAGGUGUGCAGGGUGAGGUUUCAGAACAUGGACUAAUAACCUCACAGCGUCACUCAAUCCCAGCAUUUGUGCUGGAGCUCUUUGGCUGCGCUGUCCAGGCAAUCUGAGCACCAUUGUGCUCAUGUGUGUCCCGGGGCAGUGGUUCAUGAAGCAAGUAUUUUCUUAAAUGACAAUAAAACACACAAUGAGAGGGUGUAAGGGAGAGGAUUGAUCAUGGUCAUUUCACAAUAGAUACAGUUAAGAGGAGACAGUCAGAUUUUCUACAGCCUUUGCUCUUGAGCUGACCGUGUGAAAGUGUGUUUUAUUAACAACUAUUUCAUUUGGUUUGAUAUUGUGUAAUUAACCAGAGAAAAAAAUUCAAAGCCUCAGAGCUCAGACUAAUGUAAGUAGCCAAGCUUGGGCGCACAUUGACCCCAGGACUCUCACAGUGGUCUGCCAGCUGCAUAGUAAAAAAAUUAUAUAAAAUCAGUACCUGUUUGGUCAGGCUUUGGCGGUGCAGCAUGCAAAGAAGCCACUUCGCUGCUAUCUAGCUCACUCAUCAGCAGGUCAGGAGGCCUUGAAUACAGAGGAAUGUGAAAAAGCUUCAGAGGUAGUGAGAUCUGCAUAGACCGAGGAGGAAAUUUGAUCACUUCCUCAUAAUUUUGUAAUUCAGUGGCUGAUAUUCUUGAAAUCUCCACCCACAGUAAACCUCUCACAUGGAUUUGACUUUAUGGUCCACCCACUUGUAACCACCAAUACUAAAUACAUACUGAGAGAAAAGUCAUGCAAAAAUAAAAGCUUUUUGAACAGAACAUGGAAAACACCAGCCAGUUCCUGUUUUAGAUUUGAUAUGCUGUAUAAGGAUGGCAAAAACCCAUUAUCAUUUGGAAGGACAAAAUGACAAUAAAUCAGGGCUGUCUGGAAUUUAUUUGAAUAAGAAUGAUUGAUUUCUGAAUUUCAAAAGUUUAACAGAUGUUAAAUUUUUUUUUUUUUUUUUUUGGUAUUUGAAAUUUUUAUAAAGGGAUAAUUUAUUUGUUUUUAUUCAGCUGGAGUUGGCUGACGUGCUUGUCAGUAGGAAGUGUUUUAGCCACGGGGAAUGUCUAUCAGCUUGAACCUUUUGUUGAGAAAGUCGCCAAAGAAUCUUAGCAGAAGCUCGCCUAUCUACAACCUCAGAUCUCUGACAUGUAAUUUAGCUAGUUUACGUGAAAUUUGAAACCGAAGUCCCAAGUGCAUCCUUUAUUUGGAAAUCAGUUGUUUGCUAUUGAAGAUUUCUAUUCAUUUUUGCGCUGUUCUUGUCGAAGGGGAUAAUGAUAUUCAAGAAACUGCUUGGAUAUAUGGCAUAAGAAAUAAGGCAUCAUAAGACCAACAUAAACACACUGAAUGAUGCUUUUUUUUUUUUUUUUAAGAAAUGUAUCAUUUCAGUGUAUUGAGUAAGCUAAUGAUUUUAGUACAUUUAAACAGUUAAGUAUGUGCGCAUUGUGUGAGUGUGUGCCAAUCUGCAUGUGGCCAAAUGACUGAGUAAUGGGGUUGAACUGUUUAGGAAACUUACUGUGAUUGUGCUCAAAGAGUUGUGGUAACUGCAUCUGCCUGCAGUGAUUUCUGCGAGCACUAAACGGCUCUUCUGCAGGUGACAAAACAGCCUCAUUAUACCAGAGCUGUAUACGGGACAAUACAACAAUACAGCUGGGUGUUGCGGCCACUGCAACAAAAGCAGUGAAAUUAAAGAUGUGAAGGAGGCUGUGUGGAAAUGGUUACACAGGGUGGUGGAGGGAUAGUGGAGGGGGGGGGUCUGCUGGUGCUGGGUUCAGAAGAAGACCCAACAUGUGAAGCGGAUCCAUGUCUGUCACUGUCUUUUCUUUUUUUUCCUCAUAUCUCUUGUUUCUCAUGGCCCAAUUUCCAACACUCGCCCCACCUAAGUGUGUGAAAGUUGUAUCAAGGUCUUGCCAAACAAACACAUAUCACUUGUUACAGAGGCAGCCCAAGCCUCAAUGGGGCCCUAAGCAAAAUUAUAUUGAUUGUUUAUCAUUCACACACCUACUACAGUACAAAUUUAAUGCGCCUGACAUGUCUUUACACAUUUAAGGGGAUGGCCUAGGUAAUAACAUAAAUAACACCGAUGCAACCAUACAAAUAAUACCAAUGAAUGACUGAUGAAUGAUGUUCAGGGUGCCACAUAUGGUUUUUAAUCUCAAAAUGUAACACAUUCAGGAUGCUCGGUGCACAUUGCACAGCAGGAGGCACAUAACAGUAGUGGAGCUUUGACAUAUUGGCAGUAAGAAUCAUAGGCCAACAUCAGCAGCAGCACUAAAAUGUUUUUACUUUAUUUUAUUUUUACAAUAAUAAAUAUUUGAUCAUACAGAAAGCAUCACUCAUACAUGCAUAUUUUAAUUUUUUUUUUUUUUUUUUUUUUGAUUGCUCUAGGGGCCCCCCUACUGACUGCAGGGCCCUAAGCAGGUGCUUAGUUCGCUUAUGCCUUGGGCCGGCUCUCACUUGUUAGCACUUGAUGCUUAAGCAUGUGAAAAAAAAGGCCUUUUGAAACAGAUUUUACUAAAAAUAAAAUGAUUUUGAAAAUAAGAAGAUAAAUGGGUUGAGAAAUGUCACACACUUGGGUGCUCAGUGGGGGCAGUGGAAGGGUUAAAGAAGCACAUCACACAAAUUACAAAAAAAGCAAGAUCGAAAAGCAAUAAAAAAGAAGAGGAAAUGAAAAGCAGCUUGAUGUUAGUGGGUGAUAAGAGGUGCACUCGUCAAGAAGUCAAACAGUUCAAAUAAAAAAAAACAGUGAAGAGAAGAAAGAGAGGUGUGAGGAAAGAAGAAGAGGAGAUAGCUGCACACAUGACACAUCGUGACACUUUUAUGAUCAGAGUCUUAUGAUGAAGAAUCAAAGCUUUCUAGAUUUGUGUAUGCAGUCGUGUGCAUGUGCGUGUGUGUGGGUGGGGGAUGGGGGGUGUUGGUGCGGGUGCAUGUGUGUCCGGUUUUGCAUAUUUAGCUCAUUAUCGGUUUUGACUGCAGUCAUUUCCAGCAUGCUGACUGAGAUAUCAGAGCUGGGAUCUACUGAAGGGGAAGGUGAGUGCUGUAGAAAAUUGCUGGAGUUGCAACACACGAGCUGCGUGCUGUGGCUGGGUUCAAUACUGAGACUCAGAUGCAGUUCAGCUCUGCUCAAGACAACCCGAUCACUUAAAUCAACAAACACACGCCCUGAAGUGUUCCCCCUUCUUUCAUAAACAUACUCUUAUUCCUGUCACUUCUUCCUCCACCCAUCUUUCAUCGAGUCCACUCUUCUGAUUGUUAUUUUGUGGUGUGACAUCUCUCUUGGUAGAGUGUGUUUCUUUUUUUUAACCCUUCCUCUCUUUCUCUCUAGUAGUGUCCCCAGGAAAAAAGGGGGCCUCUACACUGAGCUCUGCAGGUCACUGUCAGGUCAACAUUAGCUGCAGAGACGCUCAACCUCCAGAAUAGAUCCACAGCAAUGUCUUCCUUCAUCUCCCAUGCAUCCCUGCUCAAGGCUGUAGGGUCUAUCUGGUGAAAAAAAAAACUUUACAUUUAACUGGAAGGAACUGAAAACAUCCUGUUGAUUUGAUUGUGCAAUGAACACAUGAGUGAGAUUGAGGGUAGCUGAGGCUCAGUGGAAAAGACAGAAAGUUCCACCAAUUAGACACUGAACCCUCCCAGUGAUAGUCAGGUCAGUGGUGUAUGAACAUGUAUAAAAAGAAUAACUUAAGCUACAAACGGUUCCCUGCAAUAGUGCCAGUUUAGCACCAUCAUUUUACGACUUUGGUGUAACGAUAGAGGUAGUUAAAGUGCCACUCCAAUCGUUUUAAUACUCAAAGUGUUCUCAGUGGUCUUUAAAUUGUGAUUAUGAAGUUUUUACCAAAAGUCCCGUUACCUUUGUCAUUGUCAAGGGCUUUUCUUCUGCAGAGCUCCAGUAGCUCAUUAGCAAUUCAUCUCUGAGUCGUGACGGAGACAGCGCUGCUCUGCACACUCGUCUUCACGUUAGAUUGCAGCCUAACGUUGUCGGUGUAGUAGAAGUAACAGGUAACAGAGGAGCUAGCCAGCUCUCGUACACUAAUGUCUUUAGAGACACGAUGAAAGCUAAUGUCAUAAUUAGCUUUCUUACGAGCAUUGCAAUCCGCUAAUGCACACGCUUGUUUCACAAUCGUCCUCUGUAUUUCUCCUGUGUGGCCUGCAUGGCAAAGCUUUGGGGGCGGAGCUUGAAUUGGUUAUGUAUGAAAUCUCACUGUUUCUGAACCUGUGUUUGGGUCUUCCAGAGAUUCACAGAGAUUUGAAUGAAGAAAUAUUCAGAAAAGCAAUUUCCCAUUUAGUUUUCUCAUGAUAUGGCCUGUAGCAUCAGAAAAAUGCCUUAUGAACAUAUAAAAAAAAACAAGAAAAAAAUUGAUUUUCAUCAGGGCGGGUUGAUGAUGUCAUAUCCAAGCAAGGUCUACAUAAUGAGCAGUAAAGCACAGAUUAGUCUUGACUGAAGCGUCUCAGAGUAACUUACUUAAACCCCAGCAGCUGAGGUUUAACAGAAGCUAAGUUUAGGGUCCUUUUUUCUUUUCAAAUAAGAGUCAAAAAGCUAGGAGAACACCCCCUACAAGUAAACAGGUUCUGCAUACACAGACCAGUCUAAAAAAAAUGCUCCAUAAGUAUUCUGCAUGUUGACAGUGAAACAUAAGGGAUGCAUUAGCCUUCAUGCAAUCCAAGGACCCACCGCCUAUCAUUUGGCAAUGACUUGGCUUUUGAUUAACCCAGGCAGCGUAGAAAUAGGUCAUACAUGUCAUCUCCAAAGUUCAGUCUACUCUUGCUGAAUAACUGUUUUUGCUGAAAAGGAGCAAUGUUGGUUCUAAAGUCCUUCAUUGCUCAUUAGCAUGUUCACUGGCUACACCAGAAGUCCUGAAACUUGAGCCAUUUCUUAUUGCAGCAAUGUAGUUGUUAGAAGAUACUAACAGGUUCUCAGUUCAGGCUUCAAUUUGUGGUUACUUUCCUGAAUGAAAAUAACCUUUGAAGUAACCUUGACCUGUAGAUGAGUGGUCAGCAGAGGUAAAUCAGUCGUUUUUACAGAACUGAUACAGAGGGUGUAUUUCAAUAAUAUGACAUCUGAAAUUGUACUGUGACAUUGAUGCUGACUAUGGAUCGCUAAAUUGUUGGUUUAUAUAUAUAUAUAUAUAUAUAUAUAUAUAUAUAUAUAUAUAUAUGUAUAUGUAGGAUUUAUUUUUAUUUUUCUAUCAUUUAUUGGCACCUCUUCCUCUGCCAUUCUCUCAAUAUUUAGAUGUUAACUUCACAUGUACUCGACAACACUAAUAGCUCCAGACAUGAUCUUAUGACACUUCCUGUAAAGCAGUUAUAUAAACCAACCUCUGAUGGUACAGACUUACAGUAUAUGGGCCAGGGUUAGUGCAAUGCAUCUGAGACGUUUUGUCCUUCCUUCUGUCCUGCACUCCCAGCCUAGAUACCUGCCUCUCAGAUUUCCUGAGGGCUGAGCCCUGGGCUUUUUGUCAAGUGUGUUAUUAGAUAGGGGGGCCCAGACGCCCAGUCCCAGGGGCCCUAACACACAGGACGUUAGCGUGGUGCUACAGGAGUGCUAAAGUUCUGUCUCUGUAGCUCUCUGCUGGACCCUCCCUCCUUCUCUCAUUGGUACACCCGACUGAAAAAAAGAGGUGAUUGUUUGGAGACAAGAGGGAUGAAUUUGUCUGCUUCAGUUGGGAGAAGAAAAGCAAUUUGAAAAGGACUUGUCAGUGGAUGUGGAUCGGAUGGUUGGAAGGUGUUCCACUUUUCAGGGAGAAUGGGCGAUGUGUCAGCAUGUUCUACCUUUUUCUGCCUGUUCAGUGUCUGCAUUCUCAAUGUGUGUAGCUUUGCUCUACACAUGGAGAUCAAUGAACCCAAAUAACUCCUUUUUUAAAAAAUGUAUCCUCAUAAAUUUCCCCUUUAAGUGCUCCCGUCCCUGAUUUGCUUUGUUCAUGAUUAGAGGAACUAGACUUUGUACCAUUUAUUUUGUGAUAUCUCUUAUUUUAAAGGGGGAAUCAUAAAAUAUCAGAAAAGACCUUUAUACACCAUAUCUUUAUCUGUGUACUUGUAAAACAAACUGGCCACAGAGUACUCAUUAUCGUGUCCCUGGGGAUGCAAAAGUUUUGUCAGUGAUGUGUUGCUCAUUUCUCCUCAGGGAUGCAGCUGAUUCUAUCACGUGUUCUGAGGAGGGACAAUCAUAGCCCUCUCUCUCUCUUUUUUUGCUCCUCUUGGGAUCUCAGCAGAGACAACACCUCUGUGUGUUAAACCCAGAUCUCAUGGAAACUCGUCCCAGAUUGUAGCAGAGUCUCACUGUUGCAGAAUGGACACAUCUCACAUCCCCUAGUCCUUAAAAAGGGAACACUGUAGGACUGGGUCAAUACAGAUGAAAUGAUGACAUUGCAGCUUUUUGAGUCCUGUCCUUCAUACAGGGGACAGGUAUGCAGAGACAGUCGUUUUGUUUGUUGCCAUUGAGGUCAGAAAGUCUCUUGGACAUUUUUUCAACACUGUAACCUUCUUUUCGGGAAACAUAUUUAUGAUAAAUACUGUGUCUAGUUGCUGAAUUUACAUAUAUAUUUAGGUUGUAAUGAAAUCUUUCCAUUUAUAUCCAAACAAUAUUACUUCUAAUUAUGUCUGCAAAAGCAUGUUGCUGAAGGAAGAGACAACAGUCGGAUUGAGUAUUAAAUUUCAAAUAAUGCUUUACCUGAUCAUCGAACAAUACUCAGACUAGGAGGAACCUGGGACCCUGGUCCAACCAUGUGAAAUACCAAAAAAGAAAUAAUUAAGAUUUUAAUACAGUAUAUAAAACUGUAAAGUAUAACAUUUAUAAUUUGUUUAAAAAUGAAAAGACAUUUGUCAUUCAAGCCAGUCUCUCCAUACGAUCACAGAUCAGUAUCCAGUUUAGAUCAAACCAGAUUGUGAUGACAGUCUGCCCAGAAUCUGGGUGUCAUGAUUGAAGACUAGCUAAACCUUGAGGUUUAUGCGGCCUCGGCCCUGCCAGUUCAGGAGGAUCAGACCCUACCUGACAGAACACACAACAUAGCCCCUGGUACAAGCUCUUGGAAUAUCACACAAAGAAAACUGCAACUCCCUUAUUGACAGGCCUCCCUCCACGCAUGGUCAAACCUCUGCAGAUGAUCCAGAAUACCACAGCCUGUCUGGUUUUCAACCAACCCAGACCAGCUCACGUCACUCUGCUGUUCAUCUCUCUCCAAUGGCUUCUAGUAGCAGCCAACAUCAAAUAUUAAACCCCACAUAUUGCCUUCAAAACAGCAACGAAAUCUGCUCCUACCUACCUGCAGCCCCUUAUGCAGGUCUACACUCCCUCCUGCUCACUAUCCUCUGCCUAUGAGAGACGCCUGGUGCUCCCAUCACAACAGGGCCCUAAGCCACUAGCCAUAUUCUUCUUCUGGAAUGAGUUACCCAACUCUAUCAGAUUUUCAGAGUCCCUUUCUACCUUGAAGACUCAGCUGUAUAGGAAACAACUACGCACUUAAAGGAAUAUUCUGGCGUAAAAUUAAUUUAGGGUCAAACACACUGUAACACCAAGUUAAACGCCCCCUCGAGAGAUGAAUGUUGCUGACCGCUUGCUUCUCUAGUUAUACCAACUUUAGUAACGACCGCAGGAUAGCAAAACACAGCGGUCUGAGGAGCUAUAAACAAAUCUCAACCAAAAUGCCACCCUAUAGCCACAAAUAAUGCUCAGAACAGCACCUAACUUCAUCAACAGUACACAUGGGUCUGAGCCAUAGCAUGAUGAGCCAUUACGUGAUUUCUUUAGCAAAGAGACUAAACACAACUAACCUACUCUCUUCCAGCAGCCGCUUAUUUGUAGCGAGACCUCAGGCCAGUCCAUAUAAUGAGAUGAUGAGAUAACAUAAACCUUCAAUCAUCCCAUGGUGAGGAAAUUUGCCUUGUGAGAAGCAAAGGAUCAGCAUAGCAGCAUACUGUCAUGUUCAGAUGUAUGAAAAUAUGGUAUAGUCUUCAUUCUAUCAUUACAAGGUUAACAAGUAAGCACAUGUUUAAAAAGAAGAUACACCAAUAUCUAAUGACCCAGACUCACUGAAAUAAGAAACGGAACACCUAGACUAGGCUGUGACAACAUACAAUACAUGCCAAUGGGAUUUUGAUUACGAGUACAUUCAUCAUGGCCUUUAUUGGUGUUUAUUGUGAUUGUAAAUGUAAUGUCACCGUAAUUCCAGUUUUAGUUAUGAUUUUAACAUCUUGUAUAAUUCUCCUGUUUGGACUCUUAUCAUUUUAAUGUAUAUGAAUGUUUAUUGUCUUCUUGUGGACCCCAGGAAGAGUAGCUGAUACCUUGGUAGUAGCUAAUGGGGAUCCAAAUAAAUAAAUAAAUUGCAAACAUAAAAGAGUAAGUACACCCGUCAUGCACAUAGUGCACAGAUAAUUAUAAAACGUUAACUUAGAUCUAUACAGAAAAUGUCAUACAGAAAAAAGAGAAAAAAUGUUUUUAAAAAUGUAAAUAAAGUCUACUCAUUCGUUUUCUUCACUGUCUCUGUCUUUAUUUCAUUAUCUCUGUAACAAUACUUAAUAGUUUUUUAUGUGUUUGACCUUAAACCACAUCUGAGUUUUCACUUGAAUGCAGUUUUAUCCUCCCCUUGUCGACGCCUCCCCUCUGUCAUUUUUAGAGCUCUGAACUGGUAAGAACUCUGCUCCUUCCCCCUUUCAUCUUAUCUUCAUCUCUUUGCUAACUCACUCUUCUGAACUCACUUCAGGCUUGUUUCUGAUUCCCUUAAUUGAGUUUGGUAGAAAAACAAACGCUCUUGUAAGAGGGGGAACUUGUGCAAAGGUUGCAGCUCUGAGCCUCAGCAGUGAGCUGAUUUAGGAUGCCCACCCAGUCCCUGAAAGGUUUACCUUGAGAGGACCUUACUCUCAUUCCUUGGCUGUGUUUUAUCUCCUCUUUAUGAGGAAAGUAUCCGUCUUUUGAUUGUAUUUUCAUCAAGGAUGUGACAUUUCAAAAGGGUCAGUGAAUAAACCUAAGUGCCGGGUAUGUGGGGGUUUCGGGGACUGACAGAGUAAGUGCUUCCAGGGUUAAAGGUCAGGGUAGACUUGAGAGGAGGCUGCAUUCUGCACUCAGGCUGACCCUUCUCUUUGGUCAGCAGUGACUCACAGCUAAAGCCCUGAUGCAGAGGAGGCCUUCAACUUUUUUAGGAACUCAAAUCUGAGAUGAGAUUCAAAUACUGAGAUUUACUUUAUUGCAGACUGUGUGGUCAAAAUCACACAGCCAAAAGUUCAGGGUCCAGUACAUAGCAAUUCUGUGAUGAGACCCUCCACAUCUAAACAUGUACUAUACCUGGCGAAAGAACUGAGGCUAAUACUGAGUGUCUUUUGAAUAAGUUGCUUUUUUUGUCAUGUAAAACAUUGCUUUUUGGUUGCAACUUUUUUACCCAUACUGGUAUCUGCAUGUCACUUAUUGAUACUGAUUACUGUCCCCUUAUAACUAAUUGUUUAGCGCUUAGUCACCAUUGUAACUUAAACCUCCAGAUUGGUUGGCCAUCUCUGACAACAAUUGGUGCCCUAUAAACAAAGGUGUACACAUGGGUACACCUUAAUCUAUAAGACAAUUCUUGGCCUGAUACCACACUAUCUUUGUGGUUAUCUAUCACACAGAAAAAGUCCUGGAUUGUAUUCAUUGCAAUCUCAAGACUUUUUAUAUCCUCUCUGUCUCAAAAGCUUGUACAGAACCCAAAACCCCCAAACCUCCUCUUCAGCCAGUGAACACCUGUGGAGUGGACAUCGAAGUGGUGAGAUCAUAUAAAUAUCUAGGUGUACAUCUGGAUAAUAAGUUGGACUGGUCUAAGAAUACAGACUUCCUCUACAGAAAGGGGCAGAGCCGGCUCUUUUGCCUGAGAAGACUCCGAUCAAUACACAUCUGUAGUAAGACGCUGCAGAUGUUUUAUCAGUCUGUGGUGGCAAGUGUUCUGUUCUACGCUGCAGUCUGCUGGGGAGGAAGCAUCAAACACAAAGAUGCAAGACAUCUUAACAAACUGGUGAAAAAGGCUGGCUCUGUGGUAGGACUCAAGCUGGAUUUAGUGGAGGAUGUGGUGGAGAGAUCUACACUGAGG